UACAGAGGGGGCAAGCGUUACUCGGAAUUACUGGGCGUAAAGCGUGCGUAGGUGGUUCGUUAAGUCUGAUGUGAAAGCCCUGGGCUCAACCUGGGAAUGGCAUUGGAAACUGGCGACCUAGAGUGCGGUAGAGGGUAGUGGAAUUCCCGGUGUAGCAGUGAAAUGCGUAGAGAUCGGGAGGAACAUCCGUGGCGAAGGCGACUACCUGGACCAGCACUGACACUGAGGCACGAAAGCGUGGGGAGCAAACAGG
rnacentral:rRNA from 1 species